CCUACGGGAGGCAGCAGUGAGGAAUAUUGGUCAAUGGGCGCGAGCCUGAACCAGCCAAGUAGCGUGAAGGAUGACUGCCCUACGGGUUGUAAACUUCUUUUAUAAAGGAAUAAAGUGAGGCACGUGUGCCUUUUUGUAUGUACUUUAUGAAUAAGGAUCGGCUAACUCCGUGCCAGCAGCCGCGGUAAUACGGAGGAUCCGAGCGUUAUCCGUAUUUAUUGGGUUUAAAGGGAGCGUAGAUGGGUUGUUAAGUCAGUUGUGAAAGUUUGCGGCUCAACCGUAAAAUUGCAAUUGAUACUGGCAUUCGUGAGUACAGUAGAGGUAGGCGGAAUUCGUGGUGUAGCGGUGAAAUGCUUAGAUAUCACGAAGAACUCCGAUUGCGAAGGCAGCUUACUAGACUGUAACUGACGUUGAUGCUCGAAAGUGUGGGUAUCAAACAGGAUUAGAUACCCGGGUAGUC
rnacentral:rRNA from 1 species